rnacentral:rRNA from 1 species
CCCUACGGGGCGCAGCAGUGGGGGAUAUUGCACAAUGGGGGGAACCCUGAUGCAGCGACGCCGCGUGGGUGAAGGAGUGCUUCGGCAUGUAAAGCCCUAUCGGCAGGGAAGAAGCAAGACGGUACCUGACUAAGAAGCCCCGGCUAACUACGUGCCAGCAGCCGCGGUAAUACGUAGGGGGCGAGCGUUAUCCGGAUUCACUGGGGGUAAAGGGAGCGUAGACGGCCAUGCAAGCCUGGAGUGAAAGCCCGGGGCCCAACCCCGGGACUGCUCUGGGGACUGUGCGGCUGGAGUGCGGGAGGGGG